GAUGAAGAACGUAGCGAAAUGCGAUACGUAGUGUGAAUUGCAGAAUUCCGUGAACCAUCAAAUCUUUGAACGCAUAUUGCGCUCGAGGCUUCGGCCGAGAGCAUGUCUGCCUCAGCGUCGGUAUUACCCCUCGCUUCUCAACCCCUGGUUGAUGCCUGCCUGCCUUUGCAGUUGGCUAGAAGCGGAUCUGGCUUUCCCAGUUGCCUUUGGUAGUUGGGUCAGCUGAAGCACAGAGGCUUGAGCAAGGACCCUUAUUGGGCUUCAACUGGAUAGGUAGAACUGGUCUUAGGACCAACUACACGAAGUUGUUGCUUGUGGUCUUUUGUCUGGAGGCCAGCAGGAAACCUUUAUACCUUCGACCUGAGCUCAGGCAAGAUUACCCGCUGAACUUAAGCAUAUCAAUAAGCGGAGGA
rnacentral:misc_RNA from 1 species